GUCUGAAGGGAAAAAAUUAUUAGUUUGAGAUUUUAUAUUAAAAUUAUAUAGAUUAAAGAAAGUAAUUUUAUUUUAUUAUUUUGUAAGAAAUAAUUGAUAUUUAAUUAUAGAUUAUUAGUAUUGUGAGAGAAUUUAUUAAUUUGUAAAUAAGAAAAUUUUAUUUCUUGUACCUUGUGUACCAGGGUUUAUUAAUUAAAGUAUAUAGAAAUUGUAUAUCUCGAAUUUAAAAGAGUUAAAAAUAUAAAGUUUUUAUUGUGGAAUAAAUAUUGAAAAUAUAUUUUUAGAGGUGAAACGUUAUUCGAUUUUAAAUAUAUCUAGUUUUUUAAGAAAAAAAUUCAAUUUUAUUUUUACUUAUUAUAGAUUUUUAUUAGAAAUAGUAUAGUAUUAAAAUUUUAUAUUUUUAGGGAUGAGCUUAGAAAUAAAAAUAAUAUAAUAAAUAAUAGUUUUAUUUAAUAAGUAGGAUUAUAAGUUUUUAUCUUUAUUAAUGUUUUAUAACUAAUUAAGAUAUAAUAAAAGAUUUUUAUUUUGAUUUAUAUUUGUCUAUUAAAAUAUAUUUUUAAAUAUUAAAUGAAUAGUAAUAAUGAUAAAAUUAGUAUAAAUAAAAUGUAUAUUUAUUAUAUAUUGGAAAGAUUAUUUAAAGGAAUUCGGCAAAUAUCUUUUUCACCUGUUUAUUAAAAACAUGGCCUUUUGAGUAUGAUUUAAGGUCUAGCCUGCCCAAUGAUGAAGAAUUUAAUGGCCGCAGUAUUCUGACUGUGCAAAGGUAGCAUAAUCAUUAGUUUUUUAAUUGAAAGCUUGUAUGAAAGGUUUGAUGAGAAAAGAACUGUCUCAGUUUAAAAUUUUAGAAAUUUAUUUUUAAGUUAAAAAGCUUAGAUUUUCAUUGAAGACGAGAAGACCCUAUAGAGUUUUAUUUAUAUAAUAAUAAGGAAAAUUUAGUAUUUAAAAUUUUAUUAUUGUAUAAAUUUGGUUGGGGUGAUUGAAAAAUUUAAGUAACUUUUUUUUUAUUAUUACAUUUAUUUAUGAAUAAGAGAUCCUUUUUAGAUUAUAAGAUAAAAUUACCUUAGGGAUAACAGCGUAAUUUUUCUUAGAGUUCUUAUUGAAAGAAGAGAUUGCGACCUCGAUGUUGGAUUAAAAUUAAACUUUUGGUGAAGAAGCUAAAUAGUUAGGUCUGUUCGACCUUUAAAUUUUUACAUGAUCUGAGUUUAAACCGGUGUAAGCCAGGUUGGUUUCUAUCUCAAUGAUACAAAAAUAUCUUAGUACGAAAGGACCAGAUAUUUAAUUAAAUAAUUUUUUUAGGAAUAAUAUUAAU
rnacentral:rRNA from 1 species